rnacentral:rRNA from 1 species
AGAAUUGAUCUGGUCAGGAUGAACGCUAGCGGCAGGCUUAACACAUGCAAGUCGAGGGGCAGCGGGAUGUAGCAAUACAUGCCGGCGACCGGCGGAUGGGUGCGUAACGCGUAUGCAACCUACCUAUACAGGGGAAUAACCUUUCGAAAGGGAGACUAACACCCCAUAGUAUUGAUUUAAGGCAUCUUAGAUUAAUUAAAUAUUUAUAGGUAUAAGAUGGGCAUGCGUAUGAUUAGCUAGUUGGUAAGGUAACGGCUUACCAAGGCGACGAUCAUUAGGGGUUCUGAGAGGAAGGUCCCCCACACUGGUACUGAGACACGGACCAGACUCCUACGGGAGGCAGCAGUGAGGAAUAUUGGUCAAUGGGCGCAAGCCUGAACCAGCCAUGCCGCGUGCAGGAAAGACGGCCUUAUGGGUUGUAAACUGCUUUUACAUAAGACUAACCGUAUAUUUGCGAAUAUACCUGAAUGUACUAUGAGAAUAAGGAUCGGCUAACUCCGUGCCAGCAGCCGC